GGGAGCAAGCGUUGUUCGGAUUUACUGGGCGUAAAGGGCGCGUAGGCGGUCGUGACAAGUCACUUGUGAAAUCUCCGGGCUUAACUCGGAACGGUCAAGUGAUACUGUCGGACUAGAGUACAGAAGGGGCAACUGGAAUUCUCGGUGUAGCGGUGAAAUGCGUAGAUAUCGAGAGGAACACCUGCGGCGAAGGCGGGUUGCUGGGCUGAUACUGACGCUGAGGCGCGAAAGCCAGGGGAGCGAACGGG
rnacentral:rRNA from 1 species